rnacentral:rRNA from 1 species
GACGGAGGAUGCAAGCGUUAUCCGGAAUGAUUGGGCGUAAAGCGUCCGCAGGUGGCAGUUCAAGUCUGCUGUCAAAGACCGGGGCUUAACUUCGGAAAGGCAGUGGAAACUGAACAGCUAGAGUAUGGUAGGGGCAGAGGGAAUUCCUGGUGUAGCGGUGAAAUGCGUAGAGAUCAGGAAGAACAUCGGUGGCGAAGGCGGCUGACUGGACACAUAUUGACGCUGAGGCUCGAAAGCAUGGGGAGCAAACAGG